rnacentral:rRNA from 1 species
AUUGAACGCUGGCGGCAUGCCUUACACAUGCAAGUCGAACGGCAGCACGGGAGCUUGCUCCUGGUGGCGAGUGGCGAACGGGUGAGUAAUGCAUCGGAACGUGCCCUGAAGUGGGGGAUAACGUAGCGAAAGUUACGCUAAUACCGCAUAUUCUGUGAGCAGGAAAGCAGGGGAUCUUCGGACCUUGCGCUUUUGGAGCGGCCGAUGUCGGAUUAGCUAGUUGGUGGGGUAAAGGCCCACCAAGGCGACGAUCCGUAGCGGGUCUGAGAGGAUGAUCCGCCACACUGGAACUGAGACACGGUCCAGACUCCUACGGGAGGCAGCAGUGGGGAAUUUUGGACAAUGGGCGCAAGCCUGAUCCAGCCAUGCCGCGUGAGUGAAGAAGGCC